CAGUCGCCGCGGUAAUACGAAGGGGGCUAGCGUUGUUCGGAAUCACUAGGCGUAAAGCGCACGUAGGCGGAUUUUUAAGUCAGGGGUGAAAUCCCGAGGCUCAACCUCGGAACUGCCUUUGAUACUGGGAAUCUGGAGACCGGGAGAGGUGAGCGGAACUGCGAGUGUAGAGGUGAAAUUCGUAGAUAUUCGCAAGAACACCAGUGGCGAAGGCGGCUCACUGGCCCGGUACUGACGCUGAGGUGCGAAAGCGUGGGGAGCAAACAGGAUUAGAUACCCCAGUAGUCCCUGUCUCUUAUAC
rnacentral:rRNA from 1 species